GAGUUUGAUCGUGGCUCAGAUUGAACGCUGGCGGCAUGCCUUACACAUGCAAGUCGAACGGCAGCACGGGAGCUUGCUCCUGGUGGCGAGUGGCGAACGGGUGAGUAAUGCAUCGGAACGUAUCCUGGAGUGGGGGAUAACGUAGCGAAAGUUACGCUAAUACCGCAUAUUCUGUGAGCAGGAAAGCGGGGGACUUUCGGGCCUCGCGCUCUUGGAGCGGCCGAUGUCGGAUUAGCUAGUUGGUGAGGUAAAGGCUCACCAAGGCGACGAUCCGUAGCAGGUCUGAGAGGAUGAUCUGCCACACUGGAACUGAGACACGGUCCAGACUCCUACGGGAGGCAGCAGUGGGAAUUUUGGACAAUGGGGGCAACCCUGAUCCAGCCAUGCCGCGUGAGUGAAGAAGGCC
rnacentral:rRNA from 1 species